rnacentral:rRNA from 1 species
GACGAACGCUGGCGGCGCGCCUAACACAUGCAAGUCGAACGAGCGAGAGAGAGCUUGCUUUCUCGAGCGAGUGGCUAACGGGUGAGUAACGCGUGAGGAACCUGCCUCAAAGAGGGGGACAACAGUUGGAAACGACUGCUAAUACCGCAUAAGCCCACGGCUCGGCAUCGAGCAGGGGGAAAAGGAGCAAUCCGCUUUGAGAUGGCCUCGCGUCCGAUUAGCUAGUUGGUGAGGUAACGGCCCACCAAGGCGACGAUCGGUAGCCGGACUGAGAGGUUGAACGGCCACAUUGGGACUGAGACACGGCCCAGACUCCUACGGGAGGCAGCAGUGGGGAAUAUUGCACAAUGGGGGAAACCCUGAUGCAGCGACGCCGCGUGGAGGAAGAAGGUCUUCGGAUUGUAAACUCCUGUUGUUGGGGAAGAUAAUGACGGUACCCAACAAGGAAGUGACGGCUAACUACGUG